rnacentral:rRNA from 1 species
GAUGAACGCUGGCGGCGUGCCUAAUACAUGCAAGUCGAGCGAACAGACGAGGAGCUUGCUCCUCUGAUGUUAGCGGCGGACGGGUGAGUAACACGUGGAUAACCUACCUAUAAGACUGGGAUAACUUCGGGAAACCGGAGCUAAUACCGGAUAACAUGUUGAACCGCAUGGUUCAACAGUGAAAGACGGUUUUGCUGUCACUUAUAGAUGGAUCCGCGCCGCAUUAGCUAGUUGGUAAGGUAACGGCUUACCAAGGCAACGAUGCGUAGCCGACCUGAGAGGGUGAUCGGCCACACUGGAACUGAGACACGGUCCAGACUCCUACGGGAGGCAGCAGUAGGGAAUCUUCCGCAAUGGGCGAAAGCCUGACGGAGCAACGCCGCGUGAGUGAAGAAGAUCUUCGGAUCGUAAAACUCUGUUAUUAGGGAAGAACAAAUGUGUAAGUAACUAUGCACGUCUUGACGGUACCUAAUCAGAAAGCCACGGCUAACUACGUG